rnacentral:rRNA from 1 species
AGACCGUUCUCUUUCGAGGCCGGUCAUCGGAAUGGGUACAAUUUAAACCCUUUAACGAGUAUCUAUGAGAGGGCAAGUCUGGUGCCAGCAGCCGCGGUAAUUCCAGCUCUCAAAGUGCAUAGAAUUAUUGCUGCGGUUAAAAAGCUCGUAGUUGGAUCUGUGCCAUAGGACGGGGUCUUUCCUAACGGAUUUGUACUUCGUUCCUAGGCUUUUCAGUCGGUUUUCCCGUAAUUGCAUUCAUUUGUCGUUGCGGGUGGCUGACGAGUUUACUUUGAGAAAAUCAGAGUGCUCAAUACAGGCGUCUAGCUUGAAUGAUUGUGCAUGGAAUAAUAGAAAAGGAUUUCGGUCCUCUUUUAUUGGUUUUGUGGACUGAGAUAAUGGUUAACAGGGACAAACGGGGGCAUUCGUAUCGCUGCGUGAGAGGUGAAAUUCUUGGACCGUAGCGAGACGCCCUACUGCGAAAGCAUUUGCCAAGAAUGUCUUCAUUAAUCAAGAACGAAAGUCAGAGGUUCGAAGGCGAUCAGAUACCGCCCUAGUUCUGACCGUAAACGAUGCCAACUAGCGAUCUGCCGGUGGAUUUUUAGCCCUGGUAGGUAGCUUCCCGGAAACGAAAGUCUUCCGGUUCCGGGGGAAGUAUGGUUGCAAAGCUGAAACUUAAAGGAAUUGACGGAAGGGCACCACCAGGAGUGGAGCCUGCGGCUUAAUUUGACCCAACACGGGGAAACCCACCCGGCCCGGACACCGUAAGGAUUGACAGAUUGAUAGCUCUUUCAUGAUUCGGUGGUUGGUGGUGCAUGGCCGUUCUUAGUUCGUGGAUCGAUUUGUCUGGUUUAUUCCGAUAACGAGCGAGACUCUAGCCUACUAAAUAGUAACGAGAUUGCCAUUGUCUUAGUUGCUUCUUAGAGGGACUUUCGGUGUUUAGCCGCACGAGAUUGAGCAAUAACAGGUCUGUGAUGCCCUUAGAUGUCCGGGGCUGCACGCGCGCUACACUGGCAAAAUCAGCGUGCUGUAUCCAUUCUCGAAAGGGAUUGGUAAACCCAUGAAAAUUUGCCGUGAUUGGGAUCGGAAAUUGCAAUUAUUUUCCGUGAACGAGGAAUUCCAAGUAAGUGCGAGUCAUCAACUCGCUCUGAUUACGUCCCUGCCCUUUGUACACACCGCCCGUCGCUGCCCGGGACUGAGCCAUUUCGAGAAGAUCAGGGACCGAUGAAUUGUGGCCUCUUCGCGGAGGUUCGGUUCGUUGGAAACUGAUUUGAUCGCAGUGGCUUGAACCGGGCAA